rnacentral:misc_RNA from 1 species
GAAAUGCGAUAAGUAAUGUGAAUUGCAGAAUUCCGUGAAUCAUCGAAUCUUUGAACGCACAUUGCGCCCUCUGGUAUUCCGGGGGGCAUGCCUGUCCGAGCGUCAUUGCGAACCCCUCAAGCACGGCUUGUGUGAUGGGCCCUCCCGCGUCUUGGUCGUCAAGACGGGCCCGAAAUGCAGUGGCGGCUUCGCGGUUAUCCGAUCAGCCAGAGCGUAUGGGGACUUUCUCUCUGUCACACGCCCGCGGCGCGGACCGACGCCUGUCGACCUUCAUUCAUCGUUUUCUCGGUUGACCUCGGAUCAGAUAGGGAUACCCGCUGAACUUAAGC